CAGCAGUAGCCACGGGAAUACGUAGGGUGCAAGCGUUAAUCGGAAUUACUGGGCGUAAAGCGUGCGCAGGCGGUUAUAUAAGACAGAUGUGAAAUCCCCGGGCUCAACCUGGGAACUGCAUUUGUGACUGUAUAGCUAGAGUACGGCAGAGGGGGAUGGAAUUCCGCGUGUAGCAGUGAAAUGCGUAGAUAUGCGGAGGAACACCAAUGGCGAAGGCAAUCCCCUGGGCCUGUACUGACGCUCAUGCACGAAAGCGUGGGGAGCAAACAGGAUUAGAUACCCCGGUAGUCCCUGUCUCUUAUAC
rnacentral:rRNA from 1 species